rnacentral:rRNA from 1 species
AUGGCAUACAAACUGGUGCUACCACCGGGCAGCCGCAUCCACCCGGUGUUCCACGUCUCCCAGCUGAAGCCCUUCACGCCGGACUACACACCUGUCUUCGCCGAGCUGCCGCGCGCUCCUGACCUCUCUGCCGCACCUCUGCAGCCGGUGGCAAUCCUGGACCGUCGCAUGGUCAAGAAGGGGAUCGCAUCCAUCGUACAAGUCCGUGUCCAAUGGUCGUCUCUAUCACCAGACUCCACUACAUGGGAGGACUACACAGUGCUGCGUCACCGGUACCCGACGGCUCCUUGCUGGGAUGAUGUUGCUUCCGCUCAAGGAGGGGAGCAUGUCACACCUGAUGCUACUGCAUCAGUGGACUGA